CCAGACUCCUACGGGAGGCAGCAGUAGGGAAUCUUCCACAAUGGACGAAAGUCUGAUGGAGCAACGCCGCGUGAGUGAAGAAGGGUUUCGGCUCGUAAAGCUCUGUUGGUAGGGAAGAAAGAUAGAGGUAGUAACUGGCCUUUAUUUGACGGUAAUUACUUAGAAAGUCACGGCUAACUACGUGCCAGCAGCCGCGGGAAUACGUAGGGGGAAAGCGUUGUCCGGAUUUAUUGGGUUUAAAGGGUGCGUAGGCGGAGUGUCAAGUCAGCGGUAAAAUUUCGGGGCUCAACCCCGUCGUGCCGUUGAAACUGACACCCUUGAGUGAGUGAGAAGUAAGCGGAAUGCGUGGUGUAGCGGUGAAAUGCAUAGAUAUCACGCAGAACGCCGAUUGCGAAGGCAGCUUACCGGCGCUCAACUGACGCUGAGGCACGAAAGUGCGGGUAUCGAACAGGAUUAGAUACCCCAGUAU
rnacentral:rRNA from 1 species